GGAAACUUGAAUUUGGGAGAGACUGGAAUUCAGACCUUCUUGUUCCUAGUCCAAGACUCUUUCAGUUUAUCACAGUGGCUGUAAGAGGAACUGCUGGAUUUCUACUCUGUGGUGGGAGGCAUCUACUGGAAAUCAAGAAGGUACCCUUCUACUUGAAGGACGGCUGAGGAAAUAGGGAGCCUAUGACAUCCAAAAUAGGAUAUUGCAACAAGCAACUAGCCUUGCAAGGGAACCAAGCUGGGGGAGAGGAAGGCUAUCUGAGUGACUGAGCAUGUGUGUCCAAGAGAGAGUGAACUUGCUAAAGGAACAGCACAAACGUUCAGACUGGACAAAGUUUAAACUGGACUGGACAUUUGUUUCAUCCUCCCACAUCCUUUCUUUGCGCUGCCUCUAACCACAGAGUUCAAAAUAAUUACGAGGGAGAUCAGAUGAUCUAAGGACAAAAAUGAGGAAACCAGCCAGAGAGGCCACAUAGCUGUAGGAUUACAAGACUCUGGUGAAUGUCUUCUUAAAUACUUGGGUAGCAUGUGUGAAUCCUGAUUCACCAGAUUCAUUGAUAAUGCAUAUCAUAGGCAGUUGCCACUGUUCUGAGUUUGAUGAAUUGUUGGAUAUGUCACCCACCCCCUGAUCUUACAGAUAAACAUCUGAUUGCUGUGCUACUGAAUACCACAAAUGGACAUUUCUUUAAGUGUGGACAUUUCUGGUACCUUAAGUACUCAACAUUAUUAAUCUAGAUCUGAUACAUUGCUGCACUUGGACCCUGACACUGCAGAGUGAAAUGCCUCCCUAAACGUCAACUCUCUCCUGUCAAAGUUGGGGGCAACUGGAACAUUUGUAGAAGCCAUUUUGUAAAGACCAUUGUAAGGCUAUUUUGGACAUGACGAUGGGGCCCUCUCCUCCCCUACACUCACCUCCAUCAUUACUCGGGGAAGUUGCCAGGAAUCUUCUGACAUCUUCAACUGCUCUGUGAAAUCUACUGUAAAAUGCUAUAACAUCAUCUAAGGAAGAGAUAUGGAAUGAGAUGGUGAAAAUUCUUGUGUUGAAACAUUGAGACUCACCAACAUUCAUAAGGAUGCAGAGGAAGAGAAGACCAGUAGGCACUGGAGAAAGGAGGAGAUAAGUGGAGAACGAAAAGAAAAUGGUGUCCUAGAAAUAAUUGGAGAAGAGACUACCAAGAAGGAAAAUAUGUUAAUACUACAAGGAAACGGGGUAUGCAUGCGUGUUUUGGGAGCUGACUUCUGCCGUUCUCCUAAUGAUUGAAUUCAGUGGUGCUUCAGCUUACGACUCUGUACUUCAGAAUUAUAAAGAAGAAAAGAAAGGCCACACCAGACAUUUUAGUGACUCCAGAAUGUCCUGACUCAGGAACAAGGAAACAUUUUGGACCACAAAGCAAUUCUAUUGUAGUGAAUAUCCUCCAGUUUUGAAUCUGUUAACAUUCUGAAUUUGAUAUCUUUUCUCUAACACCUGAAGAUCUUCUCUGAUGAUUCUGGCUUCUUUCCUUGUGCCUCUGGCUUCCUGUUCUUCUCUCUUGGUUCCCUGAAUACGUGUGCUUCUGAAUACUUGCUCAUCAGUUGACCUUCAUUUUGAACCUGGAUGCAAGCCUUGUGUUCACAUGUUGUUUUCCCUUUCUCUCUGAUAUGCAGACUUCGGACCUACCCAUUGUCACUUCUAAGUUCCCCAAAGUGCAACACAUUUUCCAAAAGGAAAAAAUAAAUGUAUUGAAAAAUCUACAUUUACAGAAAUUUGAUUUCUUAAUUGUUAAUUGUGUGGAGUUGGUUAGAAAGUUACAGUUUUUAUAACGUUAGUAGUAAACAAUCCUAAUUUAAAAGUGGUUCUGCAAAAUGAAUCAUGCUUAUCUUUGAGAUUUGAAUAAUAAAAUAUUACAGAUCAAAUAAAGAUUAUCAAAAGUGAUUACUUAACCAUUAGAAAGGUGCUAAAAUCACACCUGUGUGAGAAAAACUUCAUUAGCAAACUGUGUAC
rnacentral:lncRNA from 1 species